ACACAAAACUCUCUCCAUCAUGUUGACUCUCAGUUACUGGUUCUGAACUGAUCAUGUGGACACGACGCAGGUCUCCUGAAACAUUAUAUAUUAUUUGUUACUAUGCUGUGGAUAAAUCAGGAGUUUAUACUCCUUCUUCUUGUUCUCUUCCAGCUCCAGUCACAGUACUGAGGAAGCAGAAGAGUGAGAGGUUAGAAAUGUAUAGUGGAUUCUUUUUUAACAGACAUAAACUGAACAUAAGUCGCUGUGAUCACGCAGACAGUGAUGAGGUUUACACAGAGGUGAUGUACACAUUCUCCCCUCAGCAGCUUUAAGAUGAAACCCAGCUGGUUUCAGCUUCCUCUGAAUGAUGGACACUGAACAGGAGAAAUGAUCUCUAUAAUUAAUCUGAUUAUUAUUGACUGCUCAUCACUGUCCCACUUUUAAUAAACACUCCAUAUCAUGUAAAUCUCCAGUGAGUGUAAUCAUGAUUAUGUUAUCAUAAGAAAAUUUGCAGUGUGAAUCAUUUCACUGUUCUAUUUUACCAUUUCAUGCUUUAUUGUUAUUAUUAUUAGAGGUUAUCACCAUAGAGGAGCAAGUGGACGGUCCUUACACUCCAAUACUAUCUGUUGGAACUGGCCUUCACUCUCUGUUUGGACCGUGCCCUGUUCCAAUUGCUCCAUCACAUGAAAUAUACUAAUGUACGGAUCACUCUGUGGAAUCUGGCACUUCUGCCAUUAAAAUUUGAGGUGGUCCACAGACCAGGGGUACAGAUGGCCGUGGCAAGUUUCCUCUCACGCCGGGUGGGAGGGGGAGUCAUUUGCAGGCCGGAUGGUGGUGGGGGUAUGUGGCAUAUCUAUGUGGAAUACCUAUGUGGCAUGUGUGGAGUACCA